GAUGAAGAACGUAGCGAAAUGCGAUACGUAAUGUGAAUUGCAGAAUUCAGUGAAUCAUCGAGUCUUUGAACGCACAUUGCGCCCCCUGGUAUUCCGGGGGGCAUGCCUGUCCGAGCGUCAUUGCUGCCCUCAAGCACGGCUUGUGUGUUGGGCCUCCGUCCUCCUCCCGGGGGACGGGCCCGAAAGGCAGCGGCGGCACCGCGUCCGGUCCUCGAGCGUAUGGGGCUUCGUCACCCGCUCUUGUAGGCCCGGCCGGCGCUUGCCGACACAUCAAUCUUCUUUCCAGGUUGACCUCGGAUCAGGUAGGGAUACCCGCUGAACUUAAGCAUAUCAAUAAGCGGAGGA
rnacentral:misc_RNA from 1 species